AUUGCUUCUUAGCCUUUUGGCUAAGAAUUAAAUAGUUCUUAUCAUUUUAAUCUCUGAUACAUUCUUGGUUGGACUUGGUUGGACACAUUAUACUUGAUGGUUGUUUGGUAGCGGGAGAUGGACGAGGUGCUUCCUCCAUCCACUCCAGGCACGAGCUUGGUACAGUAGUGUUCCCAGGAAUGGUGUGAAAAGC
ensembl:snRNA U2 U2 spliceosomal RNA